UGGGGAAUAUUGGACAAUGGGCGCAAGCCUGAUCCAGCCAUGCCGCGUGUGUGAAGAAGGCCUUAUGGUUGUAAAGCACUUUAAGCGAGGAGGAGGCUACUUUAGUUAAUACCUAGAGAUAGUGGACGUUACUCGCAGAAUAAGCACCGGCUAACUCUGCGCCAGCAGCCGCGGUAAUACAGAGGGUGCAAGCGUUAAUCGGAAUUACUGGGCGUAAAGCGUGCGUAGGCGGCUAAUUGAGUCGGAUGUGAAAUCCCCGAGCUUAACUUGGGAAUUGCAUUCGAUACUGGUUAGCUAGAGUGUGGGAGAGGAUGGUAGAAUUCCAGGUGUGGCGGUGAAAUGCGUAGAGCUCUGGAGGAAUACCGAUAGCGAAGGCAGCCAUCUGGCCUAACACUGACGCUGAGGUACGAAAGCAUGGGGAGCAAACAGG
rnacentral:rRNA from 1 species